UGGAAGAAAAUGAUAAGAUGCCUACCCGGUAGUGUUCCUAGAGUAAAAUUUUCAUUGCCUGCUUGUGGUACUGUAAGCAAGUGCUGGAAGUCUCAAAUGAUAAGACAACUUC
rfam:Triticum aestivum genome assembly, contig: Triticum_aestivum_CS42_TGACv1_scaffold_331303_4BS